AACCAUAGAAACCUGCGGAGUACCUGCGGAAGGAUCAUUACCGAGUUAUACAACUCAUCAACCCUGUGAACAUACCUAAAACGUUGCCUCGGCGGGAACAGACGGCCCCGUAACACGGGCCGCCCCCGCCAGAGGACCCCCUAACUCUGUUUCUAUAAUGUUUUUCUGAGUAAACAAGCAAAUAAAUCAAAACUUUCAACAACGGAUCU
rnacentral:misc_RNA from 1 species